rnacentral:rRNA from 1 species
GACGAACGCUGGCGGCGUGCUUAACACAUGCAAGUCGCACGAUGAAGCCGGCGCUUGCUCUGGUGAAUUAGUGGCGAACGGGUGAGUAACACGUGAGUAACCUGCCCUUGACUCUGGGAUAACUGCGGGAAACUGUAGCUAAUAACGGAUACGACCCUCGGAGGCAUCUCCUGGGGGUGGAAAGAAUUUCGGUCAAGGAUGGACUCGCGGCCUAUCAGCUAGUUGGUGAGGUAACGGCGCACCAAGGCGACGACGGGUAGCCGGCCUGAGAGGGUGAGCGGCCACACUGGGACUGAGACACGGCCCAGACUCCUACGGGAGGCAGCAGUGGGGAAAAUUGCACAAUGGGCGCAAGCCUGAUGCAGCAACGCCGCGUGAGGGAUGACGGCCUUCGGGUUGUACACCUCUUUUAGCAGGGAAGAAGCGAAAGUGGCGGUACCUGCAGAAAAAGCACCGGCUAACUACGUGCCAGCAGCCGCUGUAA